rnacentral:misc_RNA from 1 species
CCAAAAUGACAACAGAAAGUUCUGAGUAGUUAAACAAUUAUGAAAUUAAUUGAUACCCAUUCAUUUCAUAUAAUAUAUAACUGAUAAAUGAUGUGUGCAAGAGAACCAUAGGUUUACUUGUAAUGUACAUAUAUAUAAUGUGUACAUGUGAUUAUGAUCUGAAACCUUAGGGUUUACUAAUUACAUUCCUCUAUAUUGUACUGUAAAAUGAAAACUUCAUGUAUUUAUAACAUGUAGUUACUGUAAAUUUCUUAUAUAACGGGAGUACUUAUUUCCGCGAUCCCGCUGUGUUGAAUCAAAUCACGAAAAUACAAUAUUGUGAACACAGAUCAUUUGUCCAUAUUUCUUAUAGUUCUCAACCCUCAGAAAAUAAUGGCAAAGUUUUAAAGUGCACGAUUUUACGCGGAUAUAAAUCCCUCGCAUUCAAUAAGUGAUUUACAGUAUCUAAACAUAUGUACUGGUAAAUGUCCCUUGUAUAAACUAAUAGGUACCUCUACUGUUGUACAAAUACAAAGUACUUAAGCUUCUGUUACAAGAAAACUACACCAAAUAUGUUUAAUAAAGCGCAACCUGUAUAAUCCGAACCCUCUAUAAUCCAAAAAUUGAUUCAUCUUGCUUAAUGCCACAUACUUCAAACCUUACAUGUAUAACAAGAUGUAGGGUUACCGCUUAUUUGAAACUCUCCAGAAAUGCAUUUAUUAUUCCAUGGUAUGUUUUCACCACACACCUAAUUGUCCAUCAUCUUUUAGUUUGGACAAGCUUUUGUGUGUAUGGAAGAAUUCAAUGUCUAAACUUUGUAUGACGUCUUUUUAAUGUGUUUAUCAUGAUUCAUAGAUUGUAUGCAAUGCAUUUUCAUAAGGAUAAAAGAAUUUUUAUCAAUGUUGUCAGUUUUGUCAAAAUUUUGGUUUUUAAUAACAAUUUUUCUCAUU